rnacentral:rRNA from 1 species
AACGCUAGCUACAGGCUUAACACAUGCAAGUCGAGGGGAAACGAUAUUGGAAGCUUGCUUCCGAUAGGCGUCGACCGGCGCACGGGUGAGUAACGCGUAUCCCACCUGCCCAUCACUUGGGAAUAACCUUGCGAAAGUAAGACUAAUGCCCAAUGACAUUUAUAGAAGGCAUCUGAAAUGAAUUAAAGAUUUAUCGGUGAUGGAUGGGGAUGCGUCUGAUUAGCUUGUUGGCGGGGUAACGGCCCACCAAGGCGACGAUCAGUAGGGGUUCUGAGAGGAAGGUCCCCCACAUUGGAACUGAGACACGGUCCAAACUCCUACGGGAGGCAGCAGUGAGGAAUAUUGGUCAAUGGGCGAGAGCCUGAACCAGCCAAGUAGCGUGCAGGAAGACGGCCCUAUGGGUUGUAAACUGCUUUUAUAGGGGAAUAAAGUGAUCCACGUGUGGUUUUUUGCAUGUACCCUAUGAAUAAGGACCGGCUAAUUCCGUGCCAGCAGCCGCGGUAAUACGGAAGGUCCGGGCGUUAUCCGGAUUUAUUGGGUUUAAAGGGAGCGUAGGCCGGAGAUUAAGCGUGUUGUGAAAUGUAGACGCUCAACGUCUGCACUGCAGCGCGAACUGGUUUCCUUGAGUACGCAUAAAGUGGGCGGAAUUCGUGGUGUAGCGGUGAAAUGCUUAGAUAUCACGAAGAACUCCGAUUG